rnacentral:rRNA from 1 species
UACGAAGGGGGCUAGCGUUGUUCGGAAUUACUGGGCGUAAAGCGCGCGCAGGCGGUUUCUCAAGUCAGUGGUGAAAGCCCGGAGCUCAACUCCGGAACUGCCAUUGAAACUGUGAAACUUGAGGACGAGAGAGGUGAGUGGAAUUCCCAGUGUAGAGGUGAAAUUCGUAGAUAUUGGGAAGAACACCGGUGGCGAAGGCGGCUCACUGGCUCGAUACUGACGCUGAGGUGCGAAAGCGUGGGGAGCAAACAGG